rnacentral:rRNA from 1 species
GACGAACGCUGGCGGCGUGCUUAACACAUGCAAGUCGAACGGAAAGGCCCUGCUUUUGUGGGGUGCUCGAGUGGCGAACGGGUGAGUAACACGUGAGUAACCUGCCCUUGACUUUGGGAUAACUUCAGGAAACUGGGGCUAAUACCGGAUAGGAGCUCCUGCUGCAUGGUGGGGGUUGGAAAGUUUCGGCGGUUGGGGAUGGACUCGCGGCUUAUCAGCUUGUUGGUGGGGUAGUGGCUUACCAAGGCUUUGACGGGUAGCCGGCCUGAGAGGGUGACCGGCCAAAUUGGGACUGAGAUACGGCCCAGCCCCCUACGGGGGGCAGCAGGGGGGAAUAUUGCACAAGGGGGGGAAGCCUGAUGCAGCAACGCCGCGGGCGGGAUGACGGCCUUCGGGUUGUAAACCGCUUUCGCCUGGGACGAAGCGUGGGUGACGGUAAUGGGUAAAGAAGCACCGGCUAACUACGU